UGAACAGUCCUGUCCCCAGAACUGCCUUGCAUACCUGUACCUCCCACAGAAGGACUCUUCCAUAUUUGUAAAGGUUUGUUCCCAGGGGAGUGGGAGGUUGGUGUCAGGAUGGAGUGUGUGUAUGUGUGUGCUUAUGUCCAUCCUCACGCCAUUGUUCUCUGGAGUCCUUUAGUCGCCUCCCUGAGUGUUGGUAGGGAGCAUAGAAAGCAGUAAAAGCCCUAGUUAUUGCAGACGUGGCCAGUCAAUUCCUGUUCAGUCUUAGCUCUCCUGGCCUUUUGGUCCAGGUUGUCUUUGGCCUAGGUCUGUGUAGACCCCGAGGAGAGAAGAGUGGAGAAGUCAGGGAGUCUGUGGUCGCUCUCUGUUUUCUGAACAAGAGGUUGAUCUAGCAGCAGAGGAGGAAUGCAUCCUGAAGAGAAGCUUAAUGAUUUACAUUUCAUCCCCUUUCCUUGUCAGCCCCCAGGAGCCCCAUCAGAUCUUCUCCACUCCUGCUGUCAGGCCACAGAGUCCUGUUAUGGGGGAAUCUGCACCUUAGGACAACCUCCACCAUCUCUCACAGCAGAUGCCCAAUAUUUUCUGGACUCAAAGACCAGCCCUGUGCUGUUUUGGACCUUGGAUUAAAUUUCAGAGCUGGCCUGUCACUGAGAUGGAGCCAUGGACUGUACUGCCACCUCAAAGGGAAGGUUUUUUUUUUUUCCUGUGUGUAUGUGUGUGAGAGAGAGAAUGGCGGGCGUUAAGGUUAGCUGAAUUUGGGGAGAGCAGUGAGGAAGGGGAGGCCACUGUGGACACAGAAGCUGCUUCUGGAGAUGGGGGCUGGGGCUCUGUACACUGAACUGGUUCUGUUUUGACUUGACAGUGGACCUGAGGAGACUCGGGGCCCUUAAUUCUAUAGACGGGUCUAACCUCUGGGUGCUCACAGUCAUGUCUGCAGAGUCACUCUGUACAUCCUCAGUCUUCCAUGUAGGGACUCUUCUGUGUCAGACAGUUGGUUUUGGGGAAUAGAGGUGGGAGGUGGUUUGGAGAGAGGCAGGGAAGUUGGUCUACAUGAUGAUCCUCUGAGAAACUGAAUUAUGGUGACUCUGGUGUGAGAUGGAUGUCAGUGGUGAGAGAAUGAGGUGUAGUGAGUGAACUGCAUAGAAGCUGGAGAGCUGGAAAUGCAGGCAUUGUACGAGUAAGUGACUUUGAAUCACAAAUGCCUUAGACAUCUGUAGCUUCCACAGAAGGGACCUUUCUAUAGUUGAAAGGGGAUGCUCUCAGGGAAGAGGGACAAUGUCAAGACUAAGACUGUCUGUCUAACCCCUAUUAUUCUCUGGAGUCCUCCAGCCUCCUGAGUUUUGGUAGGGACCACAGAAAGCAGAUAAAGUCCUGGGUAAAGUCCUGUUCAGUCCACAGUUGCCCCGGAAACCUCUUGUUGUUUGUGUCCCGGUGUUCUCUGGCCUGGACGUGUGGGGAUCCAGGGGGAAGGAAGUGUGGAGAAGCCAGGAUGUGUGAUUGUCCUCACGUGUAGUGAACUGUAAGUUGAUUUGGGGGUGUUGGAGAAAUGUGUCCUUUAGAGAAACCACAUUGUUGGCACUUCGUCCCCUUUCUUUCUCAGCCCCCAGGAGCACAUCAGAUCUGUGCUACUCCUGCUGUCAUGCCAUGGAGCACUAAUGGGGGCAAUCUGGGUACAAGGACCCCUCGACCCUUUCAGCAGCAGAUUCCCAGUGCUUUUCCCGGCCUUAAGGACCAUCCCUCUGCCACUGGGACCACUGAGAUGGAGCCGCAGACUCAACUGCUACAAAGGGAAGAUGUUGGCUUUGUGUGUGUGUGUGUGUCUC